UUAACUUCACAAUUUAAGUCUUCUCAACAUCCAACUUGAAAACCACAAGUCGUUGAGGAUUUACAGCAACUAUCGGACCAGGUUAUACAAGUGUAUGAUUUUUCUUGUGGGUUUCACUCAAUUAGAGGAUAUAACAAUAAUCUUCCUGACUUAGCACAAAUAAACAAAUAUUACAAUAAAGUGCUAAAUAUUUUUCUAAGUAUUUGACUAUUGAAAGUUGUUGUGUUCAACUUUGUUGUCUUUGUUCUUCAAUGGUGAAAACCUUUUAUAGAUGUCAACAGUUUGAGCUUUCAAAUAACUUAUUCUUCUUCUUCCAACGUUCUUCUAGUUCCAACGUUUUGAUCAUUUUAUUUUGGUUCCUUCAAUUUUCCAAUCUUCUCGUUGCAUUCAAAUUCUAAUGAUUGUUGCUUUGAUUUGUGUCCAGAUGCUUAGUCAACAUUUGCUUUGAAUUUGUUCUUUGUUCUUGAGCUUUGCAUUUUCUGAUCGUUGUUUGACAGUUGCUGAAAUUCAGUUCUCGAUUGUUGUUGAACUUAAUUCUAAUCUAAGCUUUAAUUCAUAAUUUUGUUAGGCAGAUUUGUUGAAGUGAACCUUUGAAAUGGAUUGUUUCUAUUUGAUGAGAUAUUCAAUUCAGUGCAAUUAGGAAUGUAAUCAAUUGGGCACUUUAAUCCAUUCAAAUAUGGACAACAAUAAUUGCUUGGACAUUUGAAUCUUCAGUAUUAGUAUCAGAGGCAAUGAGCCUUCAUCAGAGUCUAUUUCUAAAUUGUGUUUAGAAAGUCUUUCUUCAGAGUCAACUUCCGAAGUCAUGACUUUUGUUAGAGUCAUAGUCAUUUACUUUUUCUAGAGCCAUUGAGUUUUUCAACCAUGAAAAUGAUACGUUGACUUUUUAUCAGAGGUGUUGACUUUUUUGAAAGUUAGACACUUGCUUGUGUUGGAGGCAGAUGAUGUAUUAUGAAGGCCAGAGUCAGAUCUAAUCAUCUUCUGGUGUUGAAUUAUUGGCAAAGGCAACUUAGUAGAGGUAGAGGCAAUGUUGCAUAUUAGAGUCAGAUGCCUGCUUGGAGCUACUUUGUUGGAGGCAGCUUAUUAGAACAUGUUGUAUUUGACUUCAGAGUCUUAUCUUCAGAGGCAAAACAUUGGAGGCAAAUUCAGAGUCAUAUCAUUAGACUUAGUUACUUAGAAACAAAGACAGAUCC
rnacentral:lncRNA from 1 species